GCGGCUGUGGUCUAGUCUGGUUAGGAUGGGGGCCCUCCAAGCCCCCGAUCGCGGGUUCAAAUCCCGCCAGCCGCA
rfam:Candidatus Bathyarchaeota archaeon B24 scaffold30, whole genome shotgun sequence.